CGGGUGACGUCAUCGUCGCGCGAUCAUGGCGUACGUGGUCAACGGACGCGUAAUGGAGAGUCGGCAGCAGUCGUUGUGGCGGCUGUCGGCGAUACCAGAACUGUUUUGGAGCGUCGUGAACUUCGUAGGGCUUUUCUUUCAGACAAUGUUCCAACCAGAUUUGACAAGAAGAGGUCGUGGAUACACAUCAAACUACACUCCAUCGCAGGAUGGGAGAGGGCCCCCACCAGGAGGUCCCCAGAGACGGAUGGGCAGGAUAAACCAUGGUAGCGGACCCGGUGCACCACCCAUGGCAGGGGGUGGAUGAGGAAGGUAAACGCCUGUCUCAAAAGGCAGGCGCCGAGGGUGGUGGUGUCCCUGGAUAUAGGCGCUUGUUCACAGAUGUCCUAAUCACCGGCUGUGCACGUGAACUUUGGCGCUGUGGCGGGUCACUCUUCACCCUCUCCCAGGAGUUGCGCUGCAGCUGUGGCUGCCGAGUGUGACGUCCCGUUGGCAAAGCCCACCGAUAGCGUGGAACCAGCGAGACCGAAAAUGCAAACUCCAAUCUCCCAUUGUAACAUCAAGUCUAAACUUUUCUGAUAAUUAUUGUUACAUCCUACUAAAAGCUUGUCCAGUGCUGAGAUGCAAAGCUCUCCAACAAAAUACUUUUCGCUUGAGGAUACCUUGGUUUGUGAGUUGAUGCACUGCUGCAAUAUAUUUUUUGCUACUGAAGAGCAAUGUCUCAUAUUCAUGGGCAACAAUUGUAGCUCUGAUUUUCUUUGCAGCCAUUAAUAUGCUUUAUUUUAAGUAAAGCCUGUGGAGAUCUGGCUUAAGUGGGUUCCAUAAUUUUGGAAAAGGAACCCAAUUUAUAUUUCGAUAUGUUACAUUUAAGAGACAACUAUGAUAUCCAGAAGAAAGGUACUGUUUAUCUAAACUCCACAUUGGUGAAUCCUGUGUUAAUACCACUGCAAAUGUCGAUUUAAAAAUUUGUCAACAUCCUUUCUUUCAAGAGUUUCAUUACAGUUGUUGACUUAGUAAGAGGUUUCCAUGGGCAAAUUCACAACACUUGUAGGCAGCAACGUAGUUGGAGAUAAGAGCACUGCAAUGGGUUGAGUACCUAUGGGCUACCACAGGUGACCCGCAAAGGUGAGCCGGAAUGCAACAAUUUUUACAGCUUGCCAUUCGGGUGCUAGUUCGUUCAUGUUGAUCACAUUAUGUUCACGACACAUGUCCGACCCGCACCCGAAUUGCAAUCCGCUGUGUGGGUCAUCCACGGGUACCCGACCUCUUGCAGGACUCUUGUGGGACGUAAAGCUGUAUGUUAAAUUGGUGGUGCGGUUAUAAGACACUAAAGCAAUGACAUUUACAUCUUGUGGAAGCGCCCUUCACUGGUUAAUGUGCUCCGUGGUUGCUCUUGUAGGCUAUGUGGCAAAUAUGCCAUUGUCAUAAGUAAUUUACAACUUUAGAUGACACUUUAGAAAAUAAAUGUAAGUGUUAUUCUUGAUUUUAGCCAAAAGAGUAAGAUUUGGUGCUGAGGAUUAUUUGGUACCAAAAUGCAUUGUUAAGUGGUCUUGCCUUUUGUGGGGACGAUGGAAAAUUACAAAUAGCUUGUUCAUGCUUAAGGCUCAUGAGGACUGUAACCUCUGUGCAAUAAAACAUUUAUCUUUUUAAAACAAAUUAAAUGUACACGAAAGUUGAAACUGUAAACUUGGGGUUUCAUUCCUUAAGCAAAGACGUUAUUCCUGCAACAAAAUCCCGUGUAAUUUUCACACGUUUUCAAAAGCUAGCCAGGUGCAGUUUCAGCACGGACGGAACGGAGUCGAGGAAUGGCGCCAGAGGGAGUAAUGGGCUCCAUUUGGGGUCAGAUUUUGUUCAUAUCGGUAAUGGACAGGAGCGGGAGUGUGCAAUGAGGGUCACGAACAUGGGUCACACACUCGGCAUGUUGCGGGAAGAGAAAGGAUGGGGGUCUGUGAUGAUGGUGUUCCUCUUGGGGGCUCUGUGUUGGUGCUCUGGCCAUGCCAAUAUCUCGUGGAGGCGUGCACAUGAGAGGUGGGAGUCUGUCAUGGAGGUUGUUAACAUCGUUCCAUCUCUGUAUUAAGACAGGAUAAGUAUGACUGCCCUACAGCCCAUGUACCAGAAGUCCUAGAUACCAGAUUACUAAGACCAAGAAAGGUGGACAGGAGGCCCCGUUGCAGAUCCUACAGGGCUCAUACGAACUAGGCGAUGCCCCUGGGAGCUGUUGUCUGGUCCAGGCUGAACCAGCCCUGUGCUCCUGUAAACAAAUACAUUCUUGAUGUGUUCUUUUUGAUUAUCUUUUUAUAUAUUGACUUAUGGAAGCCAAGAGCCAGUAGGAAUGUUAGAGCAUAGUGAGUCGAGAGAGAUACAGGAGACUGCAGUCAGCCGAGCAAGCCACUCCAAUCCCGGGUAAAAGUAAAAUCGGGCAAACAGGCUUGUAGAUGUGGGCCUACAUUAGUACCACGAGCAUGAUAUAAGGAAGCAAUGCCAAGCAAGCAACUGUCAACCUGUUUCAUUUAGUUAACAAAAUGAUAGUGAUGUCAGCAUUAACACGGCCAAAUGCAUCCUUUUGUUAAAAAGGAAUUUGUUUCCCAUACCCACACUGCCUCUCCGAAGAUGGUGCCCUGAUUUGUGGAGGGAAGGUGGGUUUGUGGCUGCUACAGCACAUAAAUGCAUCCCAUGCACGAUCCUAGCAGAACUAAAUUUAAAAAAAAGUUAAUUGUGUAAUCGAUUCAUAAGGCGCAAGAAGCAGGUGAGAAAAAAAAUCGAUAUUUAAAUUAACAGCGCGAAUUCGCAGCUAAGCGAUUCAUCUUGUAGGGACAUACUUCACGCGUUUCUGCUAUGCCUUCCACAGUUAUGUGGUCAAAAAUGUUUUACAUUAUUCCAAAUAAUUUUCAAUGACAAAGUUUCAAAGUGAAAAUAAAAAUGCUGAUGGCGUCACCGCGUCGUGCCAGCGCCCUGUGUCACGGGCCGGACGUAGCUGCUUGGAACUGCUGGCCACGGAAGCAUUCAAUAAGCCCUGAAGUUACUCCUUAUUAAGUAAUCUUUGUCAGUAGUAAUCUUUUCAAUCCUUAUUAUGAUUUGUUAUGUUAAUAUUAACUUGUUACACUAAUGUGUUUUUUUGUAAAUACAGGGCUAAAGUAAUUGGAAAGAUAAAUUCUUCCCGAAACGCAAUCCCCUCUUGUAACAUGUAUGUCUAUGGGAAAAUAGACUUCAUAUAGCGAGAUUCGAGUUGUGUGCUGUUUUUCAAAAACGCAUGUCGCUCGUUAUGAGAGGGACACCUAUAUAUGAUAUUCGACAACAUUCCAAUGCAGCAUAUUAAUGUUUAAUCGACAUUUAAAUACAGCAUAUGUGGAUAUGUUUGAUGAUUAAACAUGUUUAAAAACUUAGAUUUAAUAUCCUGCGUUAGCAAACGUUAAUCAAUAUUUCAAUGUGCAAUAAACGUUAUAUUUGUAAUUCUUUAAAAUGUUGCAACAUUGACGUCAUAGUGAGGCCUUGGUGAUGUCAUUGGGAUGUCACGUGACAUCAAAAUGACAUCCAAUCGGAUAAAGUUACCCCUGCAAUAGGAAUGUGAAAUUUACAACACUGCAUCAGGGUGUACUGGAUUGUGUUAGUGUACUGUUAAUGGGUGAAUAAGUAUGUUGCUUGGUUUGUGCUGGUCUGUGUUGUUUCUUAGUCUGGUACUGUAAUAUGUUACAUGUUGCUGUUUAUUUUUAAAAAAAUCAUGUUUUCCGAUGCAUACUACAGUCCCAACAAUAAACAUACUGCCCAAAG